rnacentral:rRNA from 1 species
CUACGGGUUGCUCCAGUGAGGAAUAUUGCACAAUGGGGGGAACCCUGAUGCAGCAACGCCGCGUGGAGGAUGACGCAUUUCGGUGUGUAAACUCCUUUUAUAUGUCAAGAAAAUGACGGUAGCAUAUGAAUAAGCACCGGCUAACUCCGUGCCAGCAGCCGCGGUAAUACUGAGGGUGCAAGCGUUACUCGGAAUCACUGGGCGUAAAGGACGCGUAGGCGGGUUGGAAAGUCAGGUGUGAAAUCCUACAGCUUAACUGUAGAACUGCACUUGAAACUUCUAAUCUAGAGUAUGGGAGGGGGAGAUGGAAUUAGUGGUGUAGGGGUAAGAUCCGUAGAUAUCACUAGGAAUACCUAAAGCGAAGGCGAUCUCCUGGAACAUUACUGACGCUAAGGCGUGAAAGCGUGGGGAGCAAACAGGAUUAGAUACCCCAGUAGUC